AUGAACGCUGGCGGCGUGCUUAACACAUGCAAGUCGAGCGGAGAGGAUAGAGACGAAGCUUCGGCAGAGGCUCUGUCAUCUUAGCGGCGGACGGGUGAGUAACGUGUGGGCAACCUGCCCUGCAGUGGGGAAUAAUCAUUGGAAACGAUGACUAAUACCGCAUACGGUCUCUUUCAGGCAUCUGAAGGAGAAGAAAGGAUUUAUUCGCUGUAGGAUGGGCCCGCAUCUGAUUAGCUAGUUGGUGAGAUAAUAGCCCACCAAGGCAACGAUCAGUAGCCGACCUGAGAGGGUGAUCGGCCACAUUGGGACUGAGACACGGCCCAAACUCCUACGGGAGGCAGCAGUGGGGAAUAUUGCACAAUGGGGGGAACCCUGAUGCAGCAACGCCGCGUGAAGGAAGACGGUUUUCGGAUUGUAAACUUCUAUCAACAGGGACGAAGGAAGUGACGGUACCUGAAUAAGAAGCCCCGGCUAACUACGUGCCAGCAGCCGCGGUAAUACGUAGGGGGCAAGCGUUAUCCGGAAUUACUGGGUGUAAAGGGUGAGUAGGCGGCAUGGUAAGCCAGAUGUGAAAGCCCGGGGCUUAACCCCGGGAUUGCAUUUGGAACUAUCAAGCUAGAGUACAGGAGAGGAAAGCGGAAUUCCUAGUGUAGCGGUGAAAUGCGUAGAUAUUAGGAAGAACACCAGUGGCGAAGGCGGCUUUCUGGACUGAAACUGACGCUGAGGCACGAAAGCGUGGGGAGCGAACAGGAUUAGAUACCCUGGUAGUCCACGCCGUAAACGAUGAGCGCUAGGUGUCGGGGAGGAAUUCCCGGUGCCGCAGCCAACGCAAUAAGCGCUCCACCUGGGGAGUACGACCGCAAGGUUGAAACUCAAAGGAAUUGACGGGGGCCCGCACAAGCGGUGGAGCAUGUGGUUUAAUUCGAAGCAACGCGAAGAACCUUACCAAGGCUUGACAUGGGGGCGACGUAUCUAGAGAUAGAUAUUUCCUUCGGGACGCCCCACACAGGUGGUGCAUGGUUGUCGUCAGCUCGUGUCGUGAGAUGUUGGGUUAAGUCCCGCAACGAGCGCAACCCUUAUGAUUAGUAGCCAGCAGGUAAAGCUGGGCACUCUAAUGAGACUGCCGUGGAUAACACGGAGGAAGGUGGGGAUGACGUCAAAUCAUCAUGCCCCUUAUGUCUUGGGCUACACACGUGCUACAAUGGCCGGUACAAAGGGAAGCGAACACGCGAGUGUAAGCAAACCCCAAAAAACCGGUCCCAGUUCGGAUUGUAGUCUGCAACUCGACUACAUGAAGCUGGAAUCGCUAGUAAUCGCAAAUCAGAAUGUUGCGGUGAAUACGUUCCCGGGCCUUGUACACACCGCCCGUCACACCAUGGGAGUCGGAAGCACCCGAAGUCAGUGACCUAACCGCAAGGGAGGAGCUGCCGAAGGUGAAGCCGGUGACUGGGGUG
rnacentral:rRNA from 1 species